AACACAUGCAAGUCGAUUCGAUUUACCUUCGGGUAUUGAGGAUGGCGGACGGGUGAGUAACGCGUAAGGAACUUGCCUCUUGGUCUGGGACAACUGUUGGAAACGACAGCUAAUACCGGAUAUUAUGAGAUUCUCGCAUGGGAAACUUAUGAAAGCUAUAUGCGCCAAGAGAGAGCCUUGCGUUCCAUUAGCUAGUUGGUGGGGUAACGGCCCACCAAGGCGACGAUGGAUAGCCGGCCUGAGAGGGUGAACGGCCACAAGGGGACUGAGACACGGCCCUUACUCCUACGGGAGGCAGCAGUGGGGAAUAUUGGACAAUGGGCCACAAGCCUGAUCCAGCAAUUCUGUGUGCACGAUGAAGGUCUUCGGAUUGUAAAGUGCUUUCAGUUGGGAAGAAGAAAGUGACGGUACCAACAGAAGAAGCGACGGCUAAAUACGUGCCAGCAGCCGCGGUAAUACGUAUGUCGCAAGCGUUAUCCGGAUUUAUUGGGCGUAAAGCGCGUCUAGGCGGAAAAAUAAGUCUGAUGUUAAAAUGCGGGGCUCAACUCCGUAUUGCGUUGGAAACUGUUUUUCUAGAGUACUGGAGAGGUGGGCGGAACUACAAGUGUAGAGGUGAAAUUCGUAGAUAUUUGUAGGAAUGCCGAUGGAGAAGUCAGCUCACUGGACAGAUACUGACGCUAAAGCGCGAAAGCGUGGGGAG
rnacentral:rRNA from 1 species